rnacentral:rRNA from 1 species
UACGUAGGGGGCAAGCGUUGUCCGGAUUUAUUGGGCGUAAAGGGCGCGCAGGCGGCGCUUCAAGUCCGUUGUGAAAUUUCAGGGCUUAACCCUGACGGGUCAACGGAAACUGAAGGGCUAGAGUGCAGCAGAGGAAAGCGGAAUUCCCGGUGUAGUGGUGAAAUUCGUAGAUAUGGGGAGGAACACCGGUGGCGAAGGCGGCCACCUGGACGGUAACUGACGCUGAGACGCGAAAGCGUGGGGAGCAAACAGG